GGUAAAUGUCACAGCUGCACGCUAUUAACGUACAACCUUUCUUCCCAAUUGAAAGUGCUUUACAACCCUAAGGCCUUCUUCACACACGCGGCAUGGCUGCGUCAGGCUUUCGCCCAUUGCGCAAUAUUCCCCA
rnacentral:rRNA from 1 species